rnacentral:rRNA from 1 species
GUGGGGAAUUUUGGACAAUGGGCGCAAGCCUGAUCCAGCAAUGCCGCGUGUGUGAAGAAGGCCUUCGGGUUGUAAAGCACUUUUGGCAGGAAAGAAAUAGUGCGUGCUAAUACCAUGCGCGAAUGACGGUACCUGCAGAAUAAGCACCGGCUAACUACGUGCCAGCAGCCGCGGUAAUACGUAGGGUGCAAGCGUUAAUCGGAAUUACUGGGCGUAAAGCGUGCGCAGGCGGCUUUGUAAGACGGAUGUGAAAGCCCCGGGCUCAACCUGGGAAGUGCAUUCGUGACUGCAAGGCUAGAGUGUGUCAGAGGGAGGUGGAAUUCCGCGUGUAGCAGUGAAAUGCGUAGAGAUGCGGAGGAACACCGAUGGCGAAGGCAGCCUCCUGGGAUAACACUGACGCUCAGGCACGAAAGCGUGGGGAGCAAACAGGAUUAGAUACCCCUGUAGUCC